ACACUCAUUUUCUAACAAAAAAAAUAUUAAAUUAAAUUAAAAAAUAUGGAAAUUAGAAAAAAACAUAGGAUGUGUGGAUUAAACCAAGUAGCGCUUCGAGCACCGUUAGCCAGAGGAAAUAGUAUAAUCAAUACUUUUUAUAAUAUUUUUGCAAGAUGUUGCUUUUCUAUUACGUCACUCCUUUAUUUAUUGUACGUAGAACGUAGUAUUAAUAAGUUUGAAUAUGUCAUAAUAAGUAGAUCAUUUUUUCUUGUCUUCAAUAUUUUAUAUUCACAUAUUAUUAUAAAGCAAAUUUGAAACAAAUUACUCCAAAAUAAUGGGUCAUUGUAGUGUCCGAGGAUACAAAAAUGGAAAUUAGUCAAAUUUCCAAAAGCUUCAAGGAAACUCCAAAAGAAGUCGCAAGAAGAAAAAAUGGAUAUCAUAUCUUAAAUAUCUUCCUAAUUGGAAACCUGCUGACCAUUUUGGUAUGACGUCACGAUAACACAUUGAAAUGGUGAACCAAUUUAGGAUAAUGAUUUCCAUUUGCUAGUACACCACCAUAAAAAUGGGACCACUCAAAAAGUACAACAUCGAACAAAAAUCCUUACAGAUACAUAUUUUUUUCAAUACGACUUUUUCAAAAUUAACAUUGAACAUGUUUCUAUAAUAUAACUUUGAUAUUUCUUAUGACAAUAAAUGAUUAAUAAAUUAUAA
rnacentral:lncRNA from 1 species